rnacentral:ribozyme from 11 species
AGGUGCAAAGGGUCAUUUGAGAAGUCUUUUCUGGGAGCUGUGUCUACAAACGUGCAAAGGUUCUUCUUCUUUCUUCUGUUCAAAAAAAAAAAGGUUUAUGUUAUAAGUAUAUGCUAUACAUGAUGGUG